AUUGAACGCUGGCGGCAUGCCUUACACAUGCAAGUCGAACGGCAGCACGGGGGCAACCCUGGUGGCGAGUGGCGAACGGGUGAGUAAUACAUCGGAACGUGCCCAGUCGUGGGGGAUAACGUAGCGAAAGUUACGCUAAUACCGCAUACGAUCUCUGGAUGAAAGAGGGGGACCGCAAGGCCUCGCGCGAUUGGAGCGGCCGAUGGCAGAUUAGGUAGUUGGUGGGGUAAAAGCUUACCAAGCCUCCGAUCUGUAGCUGGUCUGAGAGGAAAAGCAGCCACACUGGGACUGAGACACGGCCCAGACUCCUACGGGAGGCAGCAGUGGGGAAUUUUGGACAAUGGGCGAAAGCCUGAUCCAGCAAUGCCGCGUGCAGGACGAAGGCCUUCGGGUUGUAAACUGCUUUUGUACGGAGCGAAACGGCUUCCACUAAUACUGGGGGCUAAUGACGGUACCGUAAGAAUAAGCACCGGCUAACUACGUGCCAGCCGCCGCCGUAA
rnacentral:rRNA from 1 species